UAUUCUGCUUUUUUUCUUAUAUAUUUCUAGUUUUUCUUUAAUUUCAAGUUCAGUAAGAUGGUGAUCUAAUUCCCAAGUGUCGACCAACUGAUUAUAUUCUAUCUUGUCCAAUAAAUCUUCGUUACUAAAUAGGAGAUCUAUAUUUGAGUCUUUUUGACUUUUUUGACCCUCUUCUCCCAUUCUUGAUAAUGUAUUCAUGUUUAAUAUGUACAUACCUUUUUCUUCAAAUUCCUCUAGCAAUCUUUUUCCAUUCUUGUUUGUAUCUGAACAGUUCCAAACUAUGUUAUGCGCGUUCAUGUCACCUAACACAAUUAAAUCCUGUUUCUUAGGGAUGUUUUUAACUAUACUGGACCAAGUCCUUGCUGAAUUUGUUCUACCCGAUCUUUUGUAUAUUCUCACGACUUUUUUGUUCUUUUUCUUGAUUUUUCUACCUAUAAUAUUUAUAUUGUUAUACUUUGCAUUUCUUUCUUCUCCUAAAUUAACCUUUUCUACCUUUAUCUCUUCCUUGAGGAAAAUGGCUAUUUCUCCAGCUCCUCCCUCACCUUCGUUAUAUUUAUUUUGUAUUAUUGUUUUGUACCGUGGUACUUUAAAUUGUUAUUUUCUUAUGCUUUUUAUUUUUGUUAUUAUAGCGAUACCAUACUUUUGGAUUUCUUCUCCAUAGUUCAGCAUAUUUGUUUGUCUAUUUUCUUGCGUUCCAUAACACUUCUUUAAUUUCCGUCAACAUGUUCUGGCUUGUAUUGCUGAAAAUUAGAUCAAAUUAAAUUAAUCAAAUCAAAUUAGAUUAAUUAAAUCAAGUAUCUCUUUUUCCAGUUCGUUUUCUUCUUCUAAUACUAUGUUUUCCUGGACUUCUCUUGUAUCCCGGUCCCAUUGUUUAUUAGAAAUAAUGCCUCCCGCAAAAUCUACUUUUCUAUACUUUUCCCUUUCUUUGUGAGUGAAAUCGUCAUUUUGUAUACUAUUCUUGAUGGAUCUCUGAGCUCUCUAAAGCCCUCUCUAAGGGCGGAAUUUAUACACAGUUCUUGAGACUUGUCUUAAGCAGAGCUCGACUUGAGCCAAGAUCGACUUGAGACCCAAGUUCAUCUUAAGAUAGCUUUACAUUCAUAGACGGACCUUAUAAACUCGAAUUUGAACUUAAGAUUGCCUUGACGAAGCUUAUGCUUGAGCAUCCGACUUCGGAAAUAUUCGGGAUUUCUAGUGAAUUCCUACAAAUGUACCAAUAGCAUUAAAGAUACAAGUGCAGAUAUUUUACGUAGAUAAUAUGUUAAAUAAAUAAUUGUAUUAAAACUUUUUGCUUUUUUGUCAGGUUAUUAUUUCCGAUCAGAUCUGAAAAUUAAUUGUAAAAAUAAAUCUAAUUAAAUAAAAGUACAAUUCCAAUAAACAUCAAAUAACAUUACAUCUGAUUAUCAUUUCUAAACAAAUUAAGCCAUAUAACAUAUGUUGUACAUAACAUUAUAUUAUAUUAUUGAGUGAGAAAUUAUAACAUUGACGUAAUGUUGUUGUUAUUCAUAAUUAUGCGAAUUUAUUUAAAUGGAAAAAUAUAACCUUAAGAUAUAACCAUGUUUGUGUGAAAAUUCUUUGUGAUUACAUUUUUUUGUUAUUCUUAUUUAUAAUAAAUAAUUCUUUCAGAAUGGCAACGCUUAAGAGAACUAUAUAUUUGGAUUUAGAAAAACAAGUAUUCCUGGAAAUUUUGAAAAAAUACAAACACGUAAUUGAAUCAAAAAGUACAAAUACGUCUACGCUGAAAGACAAAUCAAAAGCUUGGUCGAUUAUUACAGAACAAUAUAAUAAUUCUUCUUUAACUACUAAGAGAGACGUACAACAGUUGAAAAAGUACUGGUUUAAUUUAAAACAACAAACUAGAAAUAUAUUAACUGCUGAAAGACAAUCACGAUUUCUAACUGGAGAACCACAGGAAAAUAUAAGUGAAGUUGAUCCGAAUAUUCAGGAUAUUAUUUCUGAUUUAAUGACAACGGCACCAACCAUUUCUUCAAGCAAUCUUUUCACCCAAGAAUCUACAAGUAAUUUAAAUAUCCUUAAAUAAUAUAUGUCUUUGUAACAAAUUAAAGAAAUUGUAUUUGACAAAAGCAAUAAUUAAAUGGAAUGUUUGUUUUUUAGAUCGACAAAAAAAAGUUUAAAAAGCAAUCCAACAGAAUUCUAAAAAUAUUGAUGAUAUUAUUAACGAAGAACAUCCAAAAAAGCAGGAAAUAUUAACUUCACCAUCCAUCGAAGUAGUAUUUGAUACAACAGGCGAAGAAAUAAACAACAAUAUAAAAGUUGCAUCAGACAUUGACGAUUCAACAUCUAUAGAGAGAGAAUCCAACAGCCAAUCUAGUGGUAUGUCAAAUGAUAUUUAAAUAUUAUUUUAAAUAAAAUGUACAAGUGUAUGUGUUCUUUUUUAACAAUGUAUACAAAAAUUUUACUUUAGAUAUAUUUAUUGAAAAAGAAAAUGAAGCCUUAUUUGAUUUAAAGAAAAAUAAUAAACAUAUAAAUGACAAUUUGUCUUCUAAUUUAAAGAAGCAAAAAACGGAUAGAA